CAUGGUUACCGAGUGCAGUGGUUCUAACCAGUUCAACAGUUCUCUACUGAAAUUGUGAAAUGUUUAGGACCACUUGACUCGGUAGCUCCA
ensembl:miRNA pma-mir-203b pma-mir-203b